CGCAUCUGUGCAUGCAGCAUAUCAAUAAGCGGAGGAAAAGAAACUAACAAGGAUUCCCCUAGUAACGGCGAGUGAAGAGGGAAGAGCUCAAAUUUGAAAUCUUAAAGGGUUUCCCUUUACGAAUUGUAGUUUAAAGAAGUGUUUUCUGUUGAGGUUUUGGUAAAAGUUCUUUGGAAUAGGACAUCAUAGAGGGUGAGAAUCCCGUAUUUGACCUUUACUUUCAACUUUGUGAUACACUUUCAAAGAGUCGGAUUGUUUGGGAAUGCAGUCCAAAAUGGGUGGUAAAUUUCAUCUAAAGCUAAAUAUUGGCGAGAGACCGAUAGCGAACAAGUACCGUGAGGGAAAGAUGAAAAGAACUUUGAAAAGAGAGUUAAACAGUACGUGAAAUUGUCAAAAGGGAAGCGUUUGACACCAGUGUUGUUUUUCUGAAAAUCUAUUAAAGAACUGUUUAUGCUAAGCUGUUUAGACUUUAUCAGCUAUACUGUUUAGUUUUGAGCUUUUCUUUAAUGCACUUUUCAGUUAACAAGUCAACAUCAAUUUCUUUUGCUGUAAAGAAGCUUGAGGAAGGUGGCUUGAGAUUCGUCUUAAGUGUUUAUAGCCUCUUGCCUAUGCAGUCGGAGAGAUUGAGGUCUGCAGCGUAGAUCCUUCGGGGCUAAAUGCAUUUGUGCUAAGUUAUAACAUUUUAUAGACAACUUGUUGACUAUGAUUUGUCUUGUAGCUUACUCGCUUAUGUUAUUUUACCUACGCUUAGGAUGUUGAGCGCAUGUCUCUCUCU
rnacentral:rRNA from 1 species